AAUAGAUACCCAGGUAGUCCACGCCGUAAACGAUGGAUGCUAGCUAUUGGGGGGAAUCGACCCCCUCCGAAGCGAAGCUAACGCGUUAAGCAUCCCGCCUGAGUAGUACGAGCGCAAGCUUAAAACUCAAAGGAAUUGACGGGGACCCGCACAAGCGGUGGAGCAUGUGGUUUAAUUCGAUGGUAAACGAAGAACCUUACCAAGAUUUGACAUCCCGGUAGCCGUUCUCCGAAAGGAGAAUUUCAUUUAGUUGGACCGGUGUCAGGUGAUGCAUGGCCGUCGUCAGCUCGUGUCGUGAGAUGUUGGGUUAAGUCCCGCAACGAGCGCAACCCUUAUGAUUUAGUUGGAUUUUUCUAAACAGACUGCCCUGGUAACAGGGAGGAAGGAGGGGAUGAUGUCAGGUCAGUAUUUCCCUUACACCUUGGGCGACACACGCGCUACAAUGGCCGGUACAAUGGGCAGCUAAGCCGCGAGGUGGAGCAAAUCCCAUCAAAGCCGGUCCCAGUUCGGAUUGCAGGCUGAAACCCGCCUGCAUGAAGCCGGAAUCG
rnacentral:rRNA from 1 species